rnacentral:sRNA from 1 species
UAGCAAAACAAUUCAAUUCAGUUGUUUGAGAGCGUUUAGCGUGAGCGGUUCGGCAUCGACGAAAGUUUAGAACGGAAAAACAUAUUUUAUUUAAUUUUUUCUUUUGUUUUAACAAAACAAGCGAACAACGAGUAUGAAAUACAUAUUGAAACGGCAAAUAACGAAAAUUGUUUAGAAUGGAAGUGUGAAAAUUCGAAAAACUACCUGAUGAAGUGCCAUUACGGAAGUGUUGAAAAUCAUAGAACAGAAGCAGUUGAUGAAGAGAAAUACAAAUUUAAAUGUGAUAACAUAACGAGAAUU